rnacentral:rRNA from 1 species
GACAGAGGUGCCGAGCGUUAGGCGGAAUCACUGGGCUUAAAGCGUGUGUAGGCGGACAAUUAAGUACCUUGUGAAAUCCCACGGCUUAACCGUGGAACUGCUGGGUAUACUGGUUGUCUUGAGCCACUUAGGGGCGAGCGGAACAAAUGGUGGAGCGGUGAAAUGCGUAGAUAUCAUUUGGAACGCCAAUGGUGAAAACAGCUCGCUGGGAGUGUGCUGACGCUGAGACACGAAAGCCAGGGUAGCGAACGGG